UCCCUGGAGGACUAGUGGUUAGGCCACAGCGCUCUCGGUGCUGUGGCCCGGGUUAGAUUCCCAGGCAGGGAU